AACGAACGCUGGCGGCAGGCUUAACACAUGCAAGUCGAGCGAAGACUUCGGUCUUAGCGGCGGACGGGUGAGUAACGCGUGGGAACAUACCCUUUGCUACGGAACAGUCCCGGGAAACUGGGUUUAAUACCGUAUACGCACUUCGGGGGAAAGAUUUAUCGGCAAAGGAUUGGCCCGCGUUGGAUUAGGUAGUUGGUGGGGUAAAGGCCUACCAAGCCGACGAUCCAUAGCUGGUUUGAGAGGAUGAUCAGCCACACUGGGACUGAGACACGGCCCAGACUCCUACGGGAGGCAGCAGUGGGGAAUCUUAGACAAUGGGGGCAACCCUGAUCUAGCCAUGCCGCGUGAGUGAUGAAGGCCUUAGGGUUGUAAAGCUCUUUCAGCUGGGAAGAUAAUGACGGUAUCUAACCAGAAAGCCACGGCUAACUACGUGCCAGCAGCCGCGGUAACAC
rnacentral:rRNA from 1 species